AACGAACGCUGGCGGCAGGCCUUUCAGGUGCAAGUCGAGCGCGCCUUCGGGUGAGCGGCGGACGGGUUAGUAACGCGUGGGAACGUGCCCUUCUCUACGGAAUAGCCUCUGGAAACGGAGAGUAAUACCGUAUACGCCCUUUGGGGGAAAGAUUUAUCGGAGAAGGAUCGGCCCGCGUUAGAUUAGGUAGUUGGUGGGGUAACGGCCUACCAAGCCUACGAUCUAUAGCUGGUUUUAGAGGAUGAUCAGCAACACUGGGACUGAGACACGGCCCAGACUCCUACGGGAGGCAGCAGUGGGGAAUCUUAGACAAUGGGGGCAACCCUGAUCUAGCCAUGCCGCGUGAGUGAUGAAGGCCUUAGGGUCGUAAAGCUCUUUCGCCUGUGAUGAUAAUGACAGUAGCAGGUAAAGAAACCCCGGCUAACUCCGUG
rnacentral:rRNA from 1 species